AUUCAAUGUUGUCCUAAUAAUUGUGAGCAGGGUUAACUCUCACCAGGGAGAACCAGGUUUUAAUCAAAACCAGGGGGCUCCCGUCUGGCCCCAGGCUGAGAGAUGCAAGCAGUGCUCAAUGCGAGUCCUGCAUACAACCCUUUAAAUGCAUUUAAAUCCCCAUGUGAUUAUAAGCUUCCACUAGUCUAAGGCAGACCCCCAGAGUCUAAAAAGAACCUGUCAGUGUCUCCCUGCAUGACCCCCUGCUUACUGUGAUUGGCAUUGGGCUUUGCUAGCUACCUAGCACCGACCACUGUGUAAUCGUCAGAGACAGCAUGCUGG